UACGAAGGGGGCGAGCGUUGUCCGGAAUCAUUGGGCGUAAAGCGCGCGUAGGCGGCCCGGUCAGUCCGUCGAUGAAAGUCAAAGGCUCAACCUUUGAAUGUCGAUGGAUACUGCCGGGCUAGAGUCCGGAAGAGGCGAGUGGAAUUCCGUGGUGUAGCGGUGGAAUGCGCAGAUAUCAGGAGGAACACCAAUAGCGAAGGCAGCUCGCUGGGACGGUACUGACGCUAAGGCGCGAAAGCGUGGGGAGCGAACAGG
rnacentral:rRNA from 1 species